rnacentral:rRNA from 1 species
AAGGUGAUAUGAACCGUUAUAACCGGCGAUACCCGAAUGGGGAAACCCAGUGUGAUUCGUCACACUAUCAUUAACUGAAUCCAUAGGUUAAUGAGGCGAACCGGGGGAACUGAAACAUCUAAGUACCCCGAGGAAAAGAAAUCAACCGAGAUUCCCCCAGUAGCGGCGAGCGAACGGGGAGGAGCCCAGAGCCUGAAUCAGCAUGUGUGUUAGUGGAAGCGUCUGGAAAGGCGCGCGAUACAGGGUGACAGCCCCGUACACAAAAGCGCAUGUGCUGUGAGCUCGAUGAGUAGGGCGGGACACGUGGUAUCCUGUCUGAAUAUGGGGGGACCAUCCUCCAAGGCUAAAUACUCCUGACUGACCGAUAGUGAACCAGUACCGUGAGGGAAAGGCGAAAAGAACCCCGGCGAGGGGAGUGAAAAAGAACCUGAAACCGUGUACGUACAAGCAGUGGGAGCNNGGGCGUUAAGUUGCAGGGUAUAGACCCGAAACCCGGUGAUCUAGCCAUGGGCAGGUUGAAGGUUGGGUAACACUAACUGGAGGACCGAACCGACUAAUGUUGAAAAAUUAGCGGAUGACCUGUGGCUGGGGGUGAAAGGCCAAUCAAACCGGGAGAUAGCUGGUUCUCCCCGAAAGCUAUUUAGGUAGCGCCUCGUGAAUUCAUCUCCGGGGGUAGAGCACUGUUUCGGCUAGGGGGCCAUCCCGGCUUACCAACCCGAUGCAAACUGCGAAUACCGGAGAAUGUUAUCACGGGAGACACACGGCGGGUGCUAACGUCCGUCGUGAAGAGGGAAACAACCCAGACCGCCAGCUAAGGUCCCAAAGUCAUGGUUAAGUGGGAAACGAUGUGGGAAGGCCCAGACAGCCAGGAUGUUGGCUUAGAAGCAGCCAUCAUUUAAAGAAAGCGUAAUAGCUCACUGGUCGAGUCGGCCUGCGCGGAAGAUGUAACGGGGCUAAACCAUGCACCGAAGCUGCGGCAGCGACGCUGAUACGUUCGUUGGGUAGGGGAGCGUUCUGUAAGCCUGUGAAGGUGUGUCGUGAGGCAUGCUGGAGGUAUCAGAAGUGCGAAUGCUGACAUAAGUAACGAUAAAGCGGGUGAAAAGCCCGCUCGCCGGAAGACCAAGGGUUCCUGUCCAACGUUAAUCGGGGCAGGGUGAGUCGACCCCUAAGGCGAGGCCGAAAGGCGUAGUCGAUGGGAAACGGGUUAAUAUUCCCGUACUUGGUGUUACUGCGAAGGGGGGACGGAGAAGGCUAUGUUGGCCGGGCGACGGUUGUCCCGGUUUAAGCGUGUAGGUGUGUGUUCCAGGUAAAUCCGGUUCACUUUAACACUGAGGCGUGACGACGAGGCACUACGGUGCUGAAGCAACAAAUGCCCUGCUUCCAGGAAAAGCCUCUAAGCAUCAGGUAACAUCAAAUCGUACCCCAAACCGACACAGGUGGUCAGGUAGAGAAUACCAAGGCGCUUGAGAGAACUCGGGUGAAGGAACUAGGCAAAAUGGUGCCGUAACUUCGGGAGAAGGCACGCUGACACGUAGGUGAAGUGAUUUACUCAUGGAGCUGAAGUCAGUCGAAGAUACCAGCUGGCUGCAACUGUUUAUUAAAAACACAGCACUGUGCAAACACGAAAGUGGACGUAUACGGUGUGACGCCUGCCCGGUGCCGGAAGGUUAAUUGAUGGGGUCAGCGCAAGCGAAGCUCCUGAUCGAAGCCCCGGUAAACGGCGGCCGUAACUAUAACGGUCCUAAGGUAGCGAAAUUCCUUGUCGGGUAAGUUCCGACCUGCACGAAUGGCGUAAUGAUGGCCAGGCUGUCUCCACCCGAGACUCAGUGAAAUUGAACUCGCUGUGAAGAUGCAGUGUACCCGCGGCAAGACGGAAAGACCCCGUGAACCUUUACUAUAGCUUGACACUGAACAUUGAGCCUUGAUGUGUAGGAUAGGUGGGAGGCUUUGAAGUGUGGACGCCAGUCUGCAUGGAGCCGACCUUGAAAUACCACCCUUUAAUGUUUGAUGUUCUAACGUGGACCCGUAAUCCGGGUUGCGGACAGUGUCUGGUGGGUAGUUUGACUGGGGCGGUCUCCUCCUAAAGAGUAACGGAGGAGCACGAAGGUUGGCUAAUCCUGGUCGGACAUCAGGAGGUUAGUGCAAUGGCAUAAGCCAGCUUGACUGCGAGCGUGACGGCGCGAGCAGGUGCGAAAGCAGGUCAUAGUGAUCCGGUGGUUCUGAAUGGAAGGGCCAUCGCUCAACGGAUAAAAGGUACUCCGGGGAUAACAGGCUGAUACCGCCCAAGAGUUCAUAUCGACGGCGGUGUUUGGCACCUCGAUGUCGGCUCAUCACAUCCUGGGGCUGAAGUAGGUCCCAAGGGUAUGGCUGUUCGCCAUUUAAAGUGGUACGCGAGCUGGGUUUAGAACGUCGUGAGACAGUUCGGUCCCUAUCUGCCGUGGGCGCUGGAGAACUGAGGGGGGCUGCUCCUAGUACGAGAGGACCGGAGUGGACGCAUCACUGGUGUUCGGGUUGUCAUGCCAAUGGCACUGCCCGGUAGCUAAAUGCGGAAGAGAUAAGUGCUGAAAGCAUCUAAGCACGAAACUUGCCCCGAGAUGAGUUCUCCCUGAGACUUAGAGUCUCCUGAAGGAACGUUGAAGACGACGACGUUGAUAGGCCGGGUGUGUAAGCGCAGCGAUGCGUUGAGCUAACCGGUACUAAUGAACCGUGAGGCUUAACCUUACAACGCCGAAG